UACAGAGGGGGCAAGCGUUGUUCGGAAUUACUGGGCGUAAAGGGCGUGUAGGCGGCCUGUUAAGUCGGACGUGAAAUCCCCGGGCUCAACCCGGGAACUGCAUCCGAUACUGGCAGGCUUGAAUUCGGGAGAGGGAUGUGGAAUUCCAGGUGUAGCGGUGAAAUGCGUAGAUAUCUGGAGGAACACCGGUGGCGAAGGCGGCAUCCUGGACCGACAUUGACGCUGAGGCGCGAAAGCCAGGGGGAGCAAAACGGGG
rnacentral:rRNA from 1 species